CCAGAUGCUCCACACAAACUGGAAGCCAGCAGUGAUGGCCGGUCUGAGUGCCACGCUGUGCAGAGGACACGAUGGGCUCUUUGUACCCUCUCCACCUCCGACUCUACAAAUCCCUACAGCUGUUUUAAGAGACAAGUGUCAUCUUUUCUCCAAAUCCCAUCCUCAGUCUGAACUGUGCAUAAUCACUGACAAAGAAUUUUAUGACGGGGAGAGCAGAGGAAAUCUCUGACUGCAAACAACACAAACACACACAGCUCUGUGGGGACUGGAGCAAACUUCUCUGCACCAGAAGUUAAUCUGCUCUCACUCCAGUUCCAGGCACAGCAGAAAACAGACUAAAAAAAGACAUUAUUAAAGCAUUUUAUGGCAUUUUGUUCUCAAA